rnacentral:rRNA from 1 species
UACGUAGGGGGCGAGCGUUGUCCGGAUUUAUUGGGCGUAAAGAGCGUGUAGGCGGCCAGGUAGGUCGGCUGUGAAAACUCGAGGCUCAACCUAGAGACGUCGGCGGAAACCAUCUGGCUAGAGUCCGGAAGAGGAGAGUGGAAUUCCUGGUGUAGCGGUGAAAUGCGCAGAUAUCAGGAAGAACACCCGUGGCUAAGGCGGCUCUCUAGUACGGUACUGACGCUGAGACGCGAAAGCGUGGGGAGCGAACAGG